rnacentral:lncRNA from 1 species
UCUAGUUCAGUAGUUGUCCUUUCUCUAGCAUUGCUCACAUGUAUUUUUUUUGUUUUUUUUUUAAUUUUCAGGAAGGUAGGGGCCUUGGGACUCCAUGGAAAGCAGAAGACACAAUGAUCUGCCGUUUCACUCCCUGUCUCUGAGUCUACACCCUCAGGGAACUGCAUGAGAGAGGAAAAGCUGAGGUCAGAAUUAUUUUAUGAGAAGACUUCUUCCGUGGUGAAAGAAAUCUCCAGACUCAGGCGGGAAUCCUUAAAGGAUGAAAUCCUCCAAUAAGAAGAAGCUUUCCUCAAUGGACAAAGGUACAACAAAGGAAUUUAAGGACUGGGAAAUUUAAAGUCCAUUUAUUAACACUUGCUGCCUGCCAAGCCUUUUGAUUCAUCUGAGCUGCAAGUUAUUCUGUUUAGUUUCAUCUUAAAAAUCAGAACGUGUGCUCCAGUCCUAGAAUAGAUUUACACUUCCAAACAGUCUCGUUAUAAAAUCCUUGAACUUCUCAGUCACGGCAUCAGUCUUUCUGAUAUCAUCUUACUUGAAUUCUUCACUCUCUCCUAUUGUUCAGUAAGUACACUUAGGAAAAGAGUUUUUUAACCUUUAGAAUCCACAAAAACAGAAAUUCAAAAUUACAGCUUUUGUAUAUGUGGUAAAGGUACUUAAAUAUUAUUUAGUUUACCCAGAAACAAAUACAGAUU